rnacentral:tRNA from 1 species
AAUAAUAUAGUUUAUAUAAAAUUAAAAAUUGUAAAUUUUUAGAACUUUGUGUGUUAUUA